rnacentral:lncRNA from 1 species
AGUCAAAACCCUUUUUGUCUAUAGACAUAGAGUGAACGUUUAAUUUGGCUCUGGAAGCUGUGCUGAAGAAACCACUCAGGAGGCCAGAGGGGAUGUCUGUGGUGGGUCAGAUCUCUCAGUGUGAGAGGGGGUUAGACGCGGAGACAGGGAGGAGUCAGUGUGGUCUGAGGCUCCACGGUGAUCCAAGGCUGUGUCCACAGUGGCUCUGAGAUGGAAGCUUCCUUGGUUUCUGCAGGACACCCUGGCAAAGCAGUGUCCCAAGAACAGUGUGUCAUCUUUUUCAUUUGGAAACUGAGACAGUGGUCUCCUAUUGUAACAGGACUCCCCCACUCUGUCCUCUCUGAGCCCCAUCUCAGGAGAUUUUUGGCAUGGAUAUCAAGGCAAAAAUGGGUAGUUUUUUCAGAGAAGAUGAAUCAUCUGCAUACUCUCUUCAGAGGGAAUUGGCUUUCGAAACCCAAAUCUCUCAUGUGAUGUAAAUAGUGAAACUGAAGGCCGGGAUGUCAGGGUGUUAGGGAGGUUGGCUAUGCUAGGAAAGCAGGAGUGCUGAGUCAGUGGACGGAGGCAGAUUUUGAUGAGUAUUGCGAAUUACUGGUUUGGCAUGGAACAUGAAAUGGCUUUGUACCAACUCAUUGGUGGGGAAAAAAGGGGCUGGCACGAGCAGAGACCCUAACUGGCUUAGCUGGAUGAGAUUCCUGAUUUCCAUAAUCUGUACCUGGAGGUUUAUACAGGAGAGGAUCACUGGGGCAGACUUGAACCAUGGUGCCCACAAGUGGGGAGGGUGCUCCAGCGGCCAUGGAAAGAACUUCCUUCUGCAGUUGGAGACAGCCUUCUGUGUGGGCUGAAGGACAGAGUGUGAUUUUCUACUUGGAAGAGACUCCAGGGCUCUGCAGAGAGGGAAGCCCUGCUGACCCAUUUCAGCAGACUGUGACACUUCAGCGACCUGCAAAUUCUACACAUUAGAGUUCAUAUUUUAUACAAACUCCGUACACCUAAGAUGUGGACUUAACAUUUCUACCAACAACAUCCAACUUCCAACAAAAGAUGCAGGCCCAUCAGAAGAUGAAAGCUACUAAUGAAGAUGCAUUAAAGAUGAUAUUUAUGGCCACCCCUUAGGGAAAAAAAGAUUCAUAAAUAAUUUCAUGGAAAUUACACCCAAAAUAGAGUCAUAAUUUCCUCAAUUUCACGUUUUCCUUUUGGUUCUCUGCAGGCCACUUCUUGUUUCAUGCGUCACCACAACUCCAUUUUAAAGGGGUGAGGUAGGAGAGGGGAGAGGUUGUAUGUUAACUGGCCUGGGAACGGCUAAGUAAUGAAAACG